rnacentral:rRNA from 1 species
GAUGAACGCUGGCGGCGUGCCUAACACAUGCAAGUCGAGCGAUCUUCUUCGGAAGAGAGCGGCGGACGGGUGAGUAACGCGUGGGUAACCUGCCUCAUACACAUGGAUAACAUACCGAAAGGUAUGCUAAUACAAGAUGAUAUAAGAGAUUCGCAUGGAUUUCUUAUCAAAGCUCCGGCGGUAUGAGAUGGACCCGCGUCUGAUUAGCUAGUUGGUAAGGUAACGGCUUACCAAGGCGACGAUCAGUAGCCGACCUGAGAGGGUGAUCGGCCACAUUGGAACUGAGACACGGUCCAAACUCCUACGGGAGGCAGCAGUGGGGAAUAUUGCACAAUGGGCGAAAGCCUGAUGCAGCAACGCCGCGUGAGCGAUGAAGGCCUUCGGGUCGUAAAGCUCUGUCCUCAAGGAAGAUAAUGACGGUACUUGAGGAGGAAGCCCCGGCUAACUACGUGCCAGUCGCCGCCGUAAGAC